rnacentral:ncRNA from 1 species
GAGAGCCGGAUGCGUAACGAAAGGCGCACGUCCGGUUCGGAAAGAGGCGAUCAGAGACCGACCGCCGAAAUGCGGCACGGCGCUGGUCGCCUAUUUUAC